rnacentral:rRNA from 1 species
CAGUAGCCGCGGGAAUACGAAGGGGGCUAGCGUUGUUCGGAUUCACUGGGCGUAAAGGGCGCGUAGGCGGGCUGAUAAGUCAGGGGUGAAAUCCCAAGGCUCAACCUUGGAACUGCCUUUGAUACUGUUUGUCUUGAGUUCGAGAGAGGUAAGUGGAACUGCGAGUGUAGAGGUGAAAUUCGUAGAUAUUCGCAAGAACACCAGUGGCGAAGGCGGCUUACUGGCUCGAAACUGACGCUGAGGCGCGAAAGCGUGGGGAGCAAACAGGAUUAGAUACCCCCGUAGUCCCUGUCUCUUAUAA